rnacentral:rRNA from 1 species
UGGUUCAGGCAUGCAAGUCGAACGAUCUCGCAAGAGAUAGUGGCAGAAGGGUUAGUAACACGUGGACAAUCUACCCUUGAAUCGGGGAUAACAUCUCGAAAGAGGUGCUAAUACCCGAUAAUAUUUCCGGACCGCAUGGUUUGGAAAUCAAAGGUGGCUCGCAAGGGCUGCCGUUUAUGGAGGAGUCCGCGGCCUAUCAGCUAGUUGGUGAGGUAACGGCCCACCAAGGCUAUUGACGGGUAGCUGGUCUAAGAGGACGAUCAGCAACAUUGGGACUGAGACACUGCCCAGACUCCUACGGGAGGCUGCAGUCGAGGAUCUUUAGCAAUGCCCGAAAGGGUGACUAUGCGACGCCGCGUGCAGGAUGAAGGCCUUCGGGUUGUAAACUGC